AGACAAUACGGCGUACUGUCUUGAUGUGCAUACUUUGGCAAAGUAAACUACAUAUAAAUGAGAGGUGGGUGUGUUGCGUCAAGCAUGUAUCAAACUAGAGGGCCUCAUUAAUAAUGCCAUGAUACACGAUCUUGAUAUUGUAUCAACAUUAAAUUACAUUUACUUUUGCAGGGUUUCGAGUGGAUGGACCCAUUUCUGCCUAUUCAUGUUGACAAGUACAGUGAUAAAGAAGCUGAAAGUUGUUUAGAUUAUUAUAUCGAUAGGCUAUGGCUGCAACAUUCAGCAGCUAAAAUGGAAAGUGGUAGGAAAGAGCUGAAAUUUUUGAGUGGAAAUAAUCCAGCUGAGUUGGAUAGAAUAUGUGGAGGACUCUAGAAUGGUGAACUCGUUAAUUCUGUGAUAGAGACACUGGUAUUUAAAUAUUCAAGAGCAAAGUGAAGAUCAUGGCAGUGUUAAUUCAGUUGUACACUAGUUCAUCAGAUCAUUGACUUACCAGUGGGUAUCAAAUCAAAUGUGAAAAAUGUAUAAUUUGAUUAAAUACAAUCAAGUCAUUUAGAAA